UGUUAGCCCUGAUAAAAGUGGAAAGCAUUUUUUGAUAAACGAGUAUUUUUUUCUUGAACAAAAAAAGCGACCAGAGGAAGCUCUUUUUGUUCUUAGAAAAAAACGAGUUUAUAAAAAAUCUUGAAGCGAAUAGCAGGAUUAGCU
rfam:Flavobacterium sp. A45 NODE_5_length_114492_cov_14.8254_ID_9, whole genome shotgun sequence.